rnacentral:ribozyme from 1 species
UCUCUUUCUUUUCUUUCUUUCUGAAAUCUUUUUAGAUUCUUUAUUUUACAUCUUUUUACUACAAAAAAAAUGCCCGGUAGA